rnacentral:rRNA from 1 species
CUUAUAUUCAGUGGCAAGGUUAACCAUCUAGGGGAGCCGUAGGGAAACCGAGUCUUAACUGGGCGUUCAGUCUCUGGAUAUAGACCCGAAACCAGGUGAUCUAGCCAUGGGCAGGUUGAAGGUUGAGUAACAUCAACUGGAGGACCGAACCGACUAAUGUUGAAAAAUUAGCGGAUGACUUGUGGCUAGGGGUGAAAGGCCAAUCAAACCUGGAGAUAGCUGGUUCUCCCCGAAAGCUAUUUAGGUAGCGCCUCGGACGAAUACUACUGGGGGUAGAGCACUGUUAAGGCUAGGGGGUCAUCCCGACUUACCAACCCUUUGC